rnacentral:rRNA from 1 species
UACGGGGGGGGGCAAGCGUUGUUCGGAAUUACUGGGCGUAAAGGGCUCGUAGGCGGCCAACUAAGUCGGACGUGAAAUCCCCAGGCUCAACCUGGGAACUGCGUCCGAUACUGGAUGGCUUGAAUUCGGGAGAGGGAUGCAGAAUUCCAGGUGUAGCGGUGAAAUGCGUAGAUAUCUGGAGGAAUACCGGUGGCGAAGGCGGCGAUCCUGGACCGACAUUGACGCUGAGGAGCGAAAGCUAGGGGAGCAAACGGG